GGCCCAGACUCCUACGGGAGGCAGCAGUAGGGAAUCUUCCGCAAUGGACGAAAGUCUGACGGAGCAACGCCGCGUGAGUGAUGAAGGCUUUCGGGUCGUAAAACUCUGUUGUUAGGGAAGAACAAGUGCUAGUUGAAUAAGCUGGCACCUUGACGGUACCUAACCAGAAAGCCACGGCUAACUACGUGCCAGCAGCCGCGGUAAUACGUAGGUGGCAAGCGUUAUCCGGAAUUAUUGGGCGUAAAGCGCGCGCAGGUGGUUUCUUAAGUCUGAUGUGAAAGCCCACGGCUCAACCGUGGAGGGUCAUUGGAAACUGGGAGACUUGAGUGCAGAAGAGGAAAGUGGAAUUCCAUGUGUAGCGGUGAAAUGCGUAGAGAUAUGGAGGAACACCAGUGGCGAAGGCGACUUUCU
rnacentral:rRNA from 1 species